GGCAGCCCCCCGGGGAAGGGGCGCUUCCCUUCUCCACCCACUGCAGGGCCCCCCCGGCUGCUCCCCCAGCCCCCCACCUGCAGGCAGCCCCGCUGCUCCAGCUGCUCCCGGAGUCCCUUCCUCGACGGCCACCCGUGUCCCUGCCUCCGGGACGCCGCGGGACUCCUCGGCACGGCUUUGUCGCCCGGCUUCCAUCUCUCCUGCUUCCUUCUGUCCCUUGUCCCCACGCAGCACUCCCCCCGCCCCCAGCCACUCACAAGGAUCUGGUGGCCGCCCACAGCGCAUUCCACCUUCUCCCUGUUCCACAGCGUCUUCCCUUCAACGUGCACCUACUGGAGCCCGUGUUUCAAGGUUCAGGACAAAGGCCACCUCCUCCAAAAGCAUCUGGUUUGAGCCUCAGCCGAGCGCGCGCCCCCCUCCCUGCCUGACUCAGGACACUUCUGAGGAGGAUCUGCUGGCUGGCUGUUCUGGGGGCACAAGGAAGCAGGAACGGACCAGGAAGAUUCUGCAGACACCCGCACAGCAGCCAAGAGCUGGCGAUGACCGUUUAACACUUCCUAGGCACCAAAAAGGGAUGAAGGCUUGGCCUCCCUCCGCAGAGAAAAAUGACUACCAGACCCUGCAGCACCGAGCUUCUGGAAGGCUGGAGCUACUAUAUCUCUUCUGGAGAGACUUUCAACGCACAGACAAGGUGAGGAAACUGAAGUUCAGAGAGGAGAGUUAACCUUUCCAAGAACACACAGCAGCUGCACGUCAGAACUUGAGUCAACCAAGACCUAUCUGGCUCCAGAGCUCCAUGAUUUACCUACUUAGGCUUCUAAAAAGCCAGUGCCUUGUCCAUGCCUUGUAGACACCCAGGGCCGACAGUCCACGGCACACCCCAGGCGCUCAGUAGGCACU